rnacentral:misc_RNA from 1 species
GCUUUGUUUAGCAAUGCAAUUUAUAUUAUUUAAUUGUUUUUUCUUGUUUUGUUUUUGGGGAUCUGGGUUGUUUCAUAAUGUGGUUUUGACUGGGAAUGGCGGUCUGGGUUUCGGUUCGUGGUGUUUCUAAAUGCAUGAAAGUUUUGCCUUUGAUGUAAAAUUCUGAUCUGGGAUUACUGUGUUCCAACUAAUUUUGAUCUGUAAUGAUGGAUGAUUUUUGGGUUUAUACAAGGAGGGAGAUUUUCUUAUAGUAAUAUAAUAUUUUUUUGUAAAAUACAUAUAAGUUAACGAAAUUAAAUUGCCUUUCUUCACAUUUUCCUGACUUGGAUCUUGGUUGUUUCAUCUUUUCAUUGUUCAUAUCACUCUAAUAUUUGUCGAUUAGAGAUAACCCAGUUUUCAGAACUUAAAUUUGAAUUCUUCAAAAAGAUAGAAAAGACAGCUAGUCAUUUUAGAAUUGAAGUUAAGAUUUUAACUAAACUAGAUCAUAGGAUCUUUUUGAGUUUUGAUCUCUAUUCGUUGACUUCUUCACUUUCUUGAAAUUGACUGUAUUGUUGAUCUUCACUUGCAUGUGUUCUCAGUUCUCACCUAAUUAAUUGAACUUUGAACAGGGAGAGAUGGCAGAGCCAAAACCAACUACACCCUUGAUCUCACCAUCGUCAUCAAGAAACCUUCCUGAUUUCAAAAAAUCUGUGAAGCUAAAAUAUGUGAAAUUGGGUUACCAUUACCUCAUCUCCCAUGGAAUGUACCUUUUCCUUUCCCCUCUUGUAGUCCUAAUUGCUGCUCAGCUUUCAACAUUUUCUCUCCAAGAUUUUUAUACUCUUUGGGAGCAUCUACAGUACAAUCUCAUAUCUGUGAUAAUCUGCUCAUCACUACUUGUUUUCCUAAUUACACUCUAUUUUAUGACUCGUCCUCGGCCUGUAUACCUUAUCAACUUUUCCUGCUACAAGCCUGCAGAAUCUCGUAAAUGCACAAAAAGGAUUUUCAUGGAUCAAUCUCGGAUGACCGGAACUUUUACAGAGGAGAAUCUUAACUUCCAGCAGAGGAUCCUUGAGAGAUCUGGCCUAGGGGAUUCAACUUAUCUUCCAGAGGCAGUCCUCAACAUUCCCCCUAAUCCAUCAAUGCAAGAAGCUCGAAAAGAAGCUGAGGCUGUGAUGUUUGGUUGUGUUGAUGAGCUUUUGGCCAAGACCUCAAUUAAACCCAAAGAUAUUGGAAUCUUGAUUGUGAAUUGCAGCUUGUUCAAUCCUACCCCAUCUCUUUCUGCGAUGGUUAUCAACCAUUACAAGCUUCGAGGUAAUAUAGUUAGCUACAAUCUAGGUGGGAUGGGUUGCAGUGCAGGUCUGAUCUCAAUAGCUCUAGCUAAGGAUCUUCUUCAGGUUCAUCCCAACUCCUAUGCAUUGGUCAUCAGCAUGGAGAACAUAACACUGAAUUGGUACUUUGGAAAUGAUCGAUCAAAGCUUGUUUCAAACUGUUUAUUUAGAAUGGGAGGGGCUGCAAUUCUCCUUUCCAACAAACGGUCUGACAGGAGGAGGUCAAAGUACCAAUUAGUACAUACUGUCCGCACUCACAAGGGUGCUGAUGACAAGUGCUUCACUUGUGUUACACAAGAAGAGGACUCCAAUGGGAAGGUCGGUGUUACUUUGUCAAAGGAUCUCAUGGCAGUCGCAGGUGAUGCUUUGAAAACUAACAUAACUACGUUAGGGCCUCUUGUUCUGCCAAUGUCCGAACAGCUGCUAUUCUUUGCAACAUUAGUUGGUAAAAAACUUUUCAAGAUGAAGAUCAAGCCCUACAUCCCUGAUUUCAAGCUAGCUUUUGAGCAUUUCUGCAUUCACGCUGGGGGAAGAGCAGUUCUGGAUGAAUUGGAGAAAAACUUGCAGCUAUCUGAUUGGCAUAUGGAGCCAUCAAGGAUGACACUUUACCGGUUCGGCAAUACCUCAAGCAGUUCCCUUUGGUAUGAAUUGGCUUAUUCAGAAGCCAAAGGAAGAAUGAAGAAGGGAGAUAGAACAUGGCAAAUAGCAUUUGGUUCAGGGUUUAAAUGUAACAGUGCAGUUUGGAAGGCAUUAAGGACCAUAAACCCCGCAAAGGAAAAGAGCCCCUGGAUGGAUGAGAUCCACCAGUUCCCAGUCAUUGUUCCAAAGGUAUCAGCUAUCUGAGCCUCGAAAUGGUUGGUUAUGAUGCAAAAUUCUUGAGGACAAGUGAAUUGAUUGGUGUAUGACAGGCAUUUUUUUAAUCAUUGUUAGAAUUAGGAUGAUGUUUAUUCAGUGGAUUGGAAUUGGUAUUUUUAACUGAUAUGUUCUGGCAUUUUUUCUGCUUUCAAUGUUAGCACCACAAGGAUGAUGCUCAAAAUGCUUCCCAUUCUAUUUUAUCAUAUCACAUUUUU